rnacentral:rRNA from 1 species
CCUACGGGAGGCAGCAGUGGGGAAUUUUGCGCAAUGCUCGUAAGAGUGACGCAGCGACGCCGCGUGAAUGACGAAGGCCUUCGGGUCGUAAAGUUCUUUCGACAGGGAAGAAAAUGCCUAUAAGUAACUGUGUAUGUAUUGACGGUACCUGUAUAAGCAGCCCCGGCUAACUCCGUGCCAGCAGCCGCGGUAAUACGGAGGGGGCGAGCGUUGUUCGGAGGGACUGGGCAUAAAGAGCACGUAGGCGGUGUUGUAAGUCAUUAGUCAAAGACUAGAGCUCAACUUUAGUAAGGCUAGUGAUACUAUAAUACUAGAGUAUCAGAGAGGAUUGCAGAAUUCCUGGUGUAGCGGUGAAAUGCGUAGAUAUCAGGAGGAAUACCGUUAGCGAAGGCGGCAAUCUGGCUGGAAACUGACGCUGAGGUGCGAAAGCGUGGGUAGCAAACAGGAUUAGAUACCCCAGUAGUC